CCUACGGGAGGCAGCAGUGGGGAAUAUUGCACAAUGGGCGCAAGCCUGAUGCAGCCAUGCCGCGUGUGUGAAGAAGGCCUUCGGGUUGUAAAGCACUUUCAGCGGGGAGGAAGGCGCUGAGGUUAAUAACCUCAUCGAUUGACGUUACCCGCAGAAGAAGCACCGGCUAACUCCGUGCCAGCAGCCGCGGUAAUACGGAGGGUGCAAGCGUUAAUCGGAAUUACUGGGCGUAAAGCGCACGCAGGCGGUCUGUCAAGUCGGAUGUGAAAUCCCCGGGCUCAACCUGGGAACUGCAUUCGAAACUGGCAGGCUAGAGUCUUGUAGAGGGGGGUAGAAUUCCAGGUGUAGCGGUGAAAUGCGUAGAGAUCUGGAGGAAUACCGGUGGCGAAGGCGGCCCCCUGGACAAAGACUGACGCUCAGGUGCGAAAGCGUGGGGAGCAAACAGGAUUAGAUACCCCUGUAGUC
rnacentral:rRNA from 1 species